rnacentral:rRNA from 1 species
AAUACUUAGGAAUCUGCCCAUUAAUGGGGGACAACAGUUGGAAACGACUGCUAAUACCGCAUACGCCCAACGGGGGAAAGCAGGGGAUCUUCGGACCUUGCGUUAAUGGAUGAGCCUAAGUCGGAUUAGCUAGUUGGUGGGGUAAAGGCCUACCAAGGCGACGAUCUGUAGCGGGUCUGAGAGGAUGAUCCGCCACACUGGGACUGAGACACGGCCCAGACUCCUACGGGAGGCAGCAGUGGGGAAUAUUGGACAAUGGGGGGAACCCUGAUCCAGCCAUGCCGCGUGUGUGAAGAAGGCCUUUUGGUUGUAAAGCACUUUAAGCGAGGAGGAGGCUACUAGUAUUAAUACUACUGGAUAGUGGACGUUACUCGCAGAAUAAGCACCGGCUAACUCUGUGCCAGCAGCCGCGGUAAUACAGAGGGUGCGAGCGUUAAUCGGAUUUACUGGGCGUAAAGCGUGCGUAGGUGGCCAAUUAAGUCAAAUGUGAAAUCCCCGAGCUUAACUUGGGAAUUGCAUUCGAUACUGGUUGGCUAGAGUAUGGGAGAGGAUGGUAGAAUUCCAGGUGUAGCGGUGAAAUGCGUAGAGAUCUGGAGG